GUGAGAUAGGCCACCGGAGGAAGAGUUGACGUCACUAUCUCUUUCUGGAAACAUCGCUGACAGAGUGCGAAGACUACAGACACUGCUCAUGUAGAGGAGCAAAAUCAAACAUCUCGGCUGAACUACCUUCGGCUCGAAAAGCACUGACUCCAAGAGUCUCGCAGCGUGGUCGACACCGAAACAGAAGUGGAGGAGAAAGUUUUAAAUGUUGCUAUUUUACACAGACAGCCAUUCGAACCAGAAAAUGCCAUCCAGCAUACAAUGGGUAAUUGAGUAGAAAGCAAACACAUUUUCAUCAAUAAAAUGGGAACUG